rnacentral:rRNA from 1 species
CCUACGGGGGGCAGCAGUGAGGAAUAUUGGUCAAUGGCCGAGAGGCUGAACCAGCCAAGUCGCGUGAGGGAAGACGGCCCUACGGGUUGUAAACCUCUUUUGUCGGGGAGCAAAGCGAACCACGUGUGGUUCAUUGAGAGUACCCGAAGAAAAAGCAUCGGCUAACUCCGUGCCAGCAGCCGCGGUAAUACGGAGGAUGCGAGCGUUAUCCGGAUUUAUUGGGUUUAAAGGGGGCGCAGGCGGAGGUGCAAGUCAGCGGUCAAAUUGCGGGGCGCAACCCCGGACUGCCGCUGAAACUGCAUCCC